rnacentral:rRNA from 1 species
CCUACGGGAGGCUGCAGUGGGGAAUAUUGCACAAUGGGCGCAAGCCUGAUGCAGCGACGCCGCGUGAGGGAUGACGGCCUUCGGGUUGUAAACCUCUUUCGCCAGUGAAGCAGCCGCCUUUUUCUUGGGGGUGGUGACGGUAGCUGGAUAAGAAGCGCCGGCUAACUACGUGCCAGCAGCCGCGGUAAUACGUAGGGCGCGAGCGUUGUCCGGAAUUAUUGGGCGUAAAGGGCUCGUAGGCGGCUGGUCGCGUCUGUCGUGAAAUCCCUCGGCUUAACCGGGGGCUUGCGGUGGGUACGGGCCGGCUUGAGUGCGGUAGGGGAGACUGGAAUUCCUGGUGUAGCGGUGGAAUGCGCAGAUAUCAGGAAGAACACCGGUGGCGAAGGCGGGUCUCUGGGCCGUUACUGACGCUGAGGAGCGAAAGCGUGGGGAGCGAACAGGAUUAGAUACCCGUGUAGUC